ACCUUUCUAUUAUCUGUGAUAUCCAUUCAUCUCUCUCUCUCUCUCUCUCUAUUAUUUAUCUAAUCUGUCUGUCAUCUCUGCAUCCACCCAACAGUCUGUCUGUCUACACAUCACACACGAAGUGAAAGAACGUGCUUGGGAAUGGUCAACGCCUGAAGCAGGAGAGGGGACCUCAGGAGAGGAUCCUGGAGGAGCGCGCAUGGACUUCUGCCAAGUGGUCCUGCAGAGAUUGACAUCUUGUUGGCAGGAGAAUGGCACCUUACCAAGUAAGAAUGAGGACUGCAAGAGGAGGGGGCACAAGAAGCCUGAGAGGAAGAAAAGCAGUGAGACACCUUCAGUCUUCCAGCCAGGGCUGCCCAUCCUGGAAAAGAAGACUUUCUAAUUUACUUUCCCACUUCUUCCUGAGGAUACUCUUGUUGGCUGGUCUGACAUCCUGUGCCAAGAGUCUAACCGACAGAGUGGGGCUCGGGAGACCCCACGUUUGCCUGCCCAAGCACUUUCCCUUGCUGCGAAUGGGUGGCCCUGCUCUUCUGCAUGCCGAGUUGUGUUACUGAUGACACAGAACAGUUAAGGGCAUGCACUGUGAGGUCAGACGGACUCGUUUCUCAUCCUGGCCUGGGCUCUAUGACUAUAACCAAGUGACUCCUGAGGUUGGCUUUCUCAACCAUCUGAUCAUGUAAUAGCCUUUCUUAACCAUCUGGUUAUGUAAUAGCACUGCCUUUCACGGGGUCCUGUGAGGACUGAGGGAGGUAACCUGCAUAGCGCAUCUGGUGUGAGCACACCCUCAACAAAUUGGAGCUGUUCUAAUGAAGCUCAGGAUGCUAUGUGUUAUUUCCUAAGAAAAAAAUUGCAUGGAUGGCAAGUAAGGAUAGUGUCAGACCCAGGUAGAUCUCCAGAAGAGUCUGAAAAAUUGGGCAAUGUUCUGUUCCUGAUUAGAUGUGGGCCACAGCCUCAGGUAAAGACAUUUUCUCUGUCCCUUCUUGGAGAAUAGUGUAUGAUGAUUUGCCAGAAUCUGAUAACAGGGAUACUUUGGAAGUUCUUGGAGCGUUAUGUUUAAGUGUAUGGGGUUUCAGUAUCACUCUUUAAACAAUGUCAAGUUAAAGGACCAAAGCUCGUUUCUGUUCUGGAAAGGGGAAAAGGAACAAGAAACCACUGAUUCAUCAGUUAUUGAAUGAUAGGCCUAUGUGUGUUUAUACUCUGAAUCUUGAAGCAAAAUGUUGAAAGAAAUCUCAUAUCAUUCAUUAUUUACAAACAGAAAAGGUAUUUGGCCCUGAAGGAUCCCUCUUUGUAGAUUUCCCCCGUCUCUAGAGACUGCAGGGGAAGCAGAGUGAAAUCCACACUCGCAUGGGCUGGCCUGUGUGCUCUACUCCUUGGCUCAGUUUAGGGUCAGAAUGAGUACUCAGAAUUUUUGAGAUUCCAAACAUUGAUCAUGUGGGCAUAUUCAAAUUGAUCAGUUUGUUUCAGUCUACUUAUCAUGAAUAAAUAAUGAGAAAAUAUUUAAACAAAAUGUGAGAUUCUUUUGUCAGAUAUUUACUGAGUGCUACUGAGUGAAAAUUAAAGGCACUAAUUAGACAUUGUUUGGACUUCAAGAACUGUACAGUCACCGUAAGGGUGAGGUGCAUGAGUUGAAGACAUUUUAAGAAAUAUACACAUGAAGACAUUUAAGAAAUGUACACAGGAAAGUGUAUAUUUCAAUUCAGUGUAGUAGAGAAAGAACACAAACACAUGCAUGACAUUUCAGGGGCAGAGGGAUGGCAUUUUCAGGAUGGGAGCAAAGAGCAUUUCACGGAGCACGCAUUGGAUUUGAGCUUGCCCUUGAGGAUCUGGACAAGAGAAAAAGGUAAGUUGCAUGGCAGCAACGGGGAGGGAUGUGGCACAGUCUGGGAGUGAAGAGCUGCCCAUUUGGCUGGAGGGCAGGCAGGAAAAGUGGGUGAGAGAGGGUUUUGCUGGCAAUAGUGAGUUUGGCUUUCAGGCUAAGGAAUUUAGAGUCUAUUUGUCAAACCAUGAGGAGCAACACCAACUUUUUGCAUGUGAAAGUGUUAGGCCUGGAAAUAUUCCAGGUAACUGUUACAGCAGUGGUGCUCCAUGAAUGGAAG
rnacentral:lncRNA from 10 species